CGUUUCGUCACUCAUCCAAGUGACUUCUUCAGUCUCAGCUGACUGCAGGUUUCCCCAAACCUUAUAAACAGUAUAUUUGCAUAAUGACUGAAACCAGCCCACUGAAGGAACAAUGGGCUGUGAGUGUACAAAAGGCCCCGUAGUUGUGAGUUUUAUUCUGUUCAGUUGUUCACCUGUAGUUUCUUAGAGUGGCCAGUAGAGGUCACCCCACCGCUUUGUAUGAGAGAGGGUUUGGGCAGGGAGAUACGUGGGUGAAGUAUAUGAGCGUUUCCACUCCUGAUUACCGGUAGAGAAGUGGUCAUUUCAUGAGAAGUGUGCGUUACUGAGCAACAGACCACACACACACACACACACACACCCACCCCGCUCAUAUCCACACCAAUGCACCUAAACUUGUAUGUAACACCUGCUCCUCUGACAAGGCUGUUACCUCUGACCGUGUGAAGGCAAUACAAGCGUCCAAACCAUCCUUGGUGUCCUCAUUGUCUCAUUCCUGAAUAUCCAUCCGGGCCUAGAGUAGUGUUCUGGCCGACACUCCGGGGAGUGGUGGCUGCAAACCUGAAUCAACGCCUUACAGUCCUCGCAUUCCGGGUUAUCUACCCAACA